rnacentral:rRNA from 1 species
CACCAGACUCCUACGGGAGGCAGCAGUGGGGGAUAUUGCACAAUGGGGGGAACCCUGAUGCAGCGACGCCGCGUGGGUGAAGAAGCGCCUCGGCGCGUAAAGCCCUGUCAGCAGGGAAGAAAAUGACGGUACCUGAAGAAGAAGCCCCGGCUAACUACGUGCCAGCAGCCGCGGUAAUACGUAGGGGGCAAGCGUUAUCCGGAUUUACUGGGUGUAAAGGGAGCGUAGACGGCAGUGCAAGUCCGGAGUGAAAGUCCGGGGCUCAACCCUGGGACUGCUCUGGAAACUGUAAAGCUGGAGUGCGGGAGGGGCAGGCGGAAUUCCUGGUGUAGCGGUGAAAUGCGUAGAUAUCAGGAGGAACACCGGCGGCGAAGGCGGCCUGCUGGACCGUAACUGACGUUGAGGCUCGAAAGCGUGGGGAGCAAACAGGAUUAGAUACCCCUGUA